rnacentral:rRNA from 1 species
AGUGAACGCUGGCGGUAGGCCUAACACAUGCAAGUCGAACGGCAGCACAGUAAGAGCUUGCUCUUACGGGUGGCGAGUGGCGGACGGGUGAGGAAUACAUCGGAAUCUACUUUUUCGUGGGGGAUAACGUAGGGAAACUUACGCUAAUACCGCAUACGACCUACGGGUGAAAGCAGGGGAUCUUCGGACCUUGCGCGAUUGAAUGAGCCGAUGUCGGAUUAGCUAGUUGGCGGGGUAAAGGCCCACCAAGGCGACGAUCCGUAGCUGGUCUGAGAGGAUGAUCAGCCACACUGGAACUGAGACACGGUCCAGACUGCUACGGGAGGCAGCAGUGGGGAAUAUUGGACAAUGGGCGAGAGGCUGAUCCAGCCAUACCGCGUGGGAGAAGAAGGCCUUCGGGUUGUAAAGCCCUUUUGUUGGGAAAGAAAAGCAGCAGGUUAAUACCCCGCUGUUCUGACGGUACCCAAAGAAUAAGCACCGGCUAACUUCGUG